GACGAAGGGGGCUAGCGUUGUUCGGAAUUACUGGGCGUAAAGCGCACGUAGGCGGCUUGGUAUGUCGGGUGUGAAAUCCCCGGGCUCAACCUGGGAACUGCAUCCGAAACUGCCUUGCUCGAGUAUGGGAGAGGGAAGUGGAGUUUCCGGUGUAGCGGUGAAAUGCGUAGAUAUCGGAAGGAACAUCAGUGGCGAAGGCGACUUCCUGGACCAAUACUGACGCUCAGGUGCGAAAGCGUGGGGAGCAAACAGG
rnacentral:rRNA from 1 species